AAUUAACUUUAGAAACCAUCCCAAACACUGUACGUGUGUUCCUUCCAUUUCAUCGAUAAAAAGCCCACGGAGGAAAACCCGCAUCCUAUGUUGUGGUUGGGUUAUAACAAACCUAUGGAGAAGAAACACCGAGUGCUGAGGAGGUUCAACAGCAGCUUCACAUCAACAACAGUGGACACUUGAACUCCAGGAGCUGUGUCGAGUCUAAAAUGCCAUCUGGACUUGCCCCAAACCAGGGAUGCUCAAGACACACCACCAGGCCUCUCCGCUCCACAGUGUGGAAUUGACCUUCCAUGAGCUGAAUGGCUUUGUCCUCUUUUCUUUACCAUAUUUAGUGGCAGAAUUGCCAGUGAAGGUGGGGUGUA